rnacentral:rRNA from 1 species
AACGAACGCUGGCGGCAUGCCUAACACAUGCAAGUCGAACGAGACCUUCGGGUCUAGUGGCGCACUGGUCCGUAACGCGUGGGAACCUGCCCUUAGGUUCGGAAGAACUCCCCGAAAGGGGUGCUAAUACCGGAUAAUGUCUUCCGACCAAAGAUUUAUCGCCUUUGGAUGGGCCCGCGUUGGAUUAGCUAGAUGGUAGGGUAAAAGCCUACCAAGGCGACGAUCCAUAGCUGGUCUGAGAGGAUGAUCAGCCACACUGGGACUGAGACACGGCCCAGACUCCUACGGGAGGCAGCAGUGGGGAAUAUUGGAAAAUGGGCGAAAGCAUGAUCCAGCAAUGACGCGUGAGUGAUGAAGGCCUUAGGGUUGUAAAGCUAUUUUACCCGGGAUGAUAAUGACAGUACCGGGAGAAUAAGCUCCGGCUAACUCCGUG